AUUACUUUAAAAAAAAAACAUUUUUUAUACACUACUCUUAGGGCUUCCAUCUGGCUGGAAUUUAUUUGAGGCUGCCUGGCCAGUGCCAAUAUUGCAGUAAUAACGGCAAUACAAACGACGGAAUUUUUCUCAGUAUAAACAGAGAUUACUCUGUAUUGUCAUCACCGGCCAGUGGGGGUCACUGUGUGUGUGGAGAGAGGCAGGGAUAGGAAGUUACAGCAUAUACCAGGAGGUAAAUUACAAGCUGCUAUCCCUCUGGUAUAGAACACCGACCGUAAUACAUCGUAUUUUCCCGGCAGUGCCACCAACGUGUUGUAGAUGCCAGGAGGACAGAGGCACACUACUACAUAUAUGGUGGGAAUGCCGUGACAUACUCCCAUAUUGGGACAUGGUAAAAACUAAGGUGACUCGGGUGCUGGGGGAUGUUCCAGAGUGGCCUGCAGAACUCGCCCUCCUAUAUAUCUCUCAACAAACGAUCUCGAGCUAUAAAAAAUCAAUACUUCGACACCUCUUGAAUGCGGCUAAAGCGUCAAUACCGGCCUACUGGAAAACAACCAACAUCCGAACGAAAAAGGAAUGGAUUCGGCGAGUUGAAGACAUACAGAGCGCGGAGGCACUUCAUGCCUCCCUAACAGGCAGAGAAACUAAACACGUGGAAAUGUGGCAACUGUGGU